UACGUAGGGUGCGAGCGUUAAUCGGAAUUACUGGGCGUAAAGCGUGCGCAGGCGGUGAUGUAAGACAGUUGUGAAAUCCCCGGGCUCAACCUGGGAACUGCAUCUGUGACUGCAUCGCUGGAGUGCGGCAGAGGGGGAUGGAAUUCCGCGUGUAGCAGUGAAAUGCGUAGAGAUGUGGAGGAAUACCGAUGGCGAAGGCAGCCCCCUGGGAUAACACUGACGCUCAUGCACGAAAGCGUGGGGAGCAAACAGG
rnacentral:rRNA from 1 species